rnacentral:rRNA from 1 species
ACGGGGUGAAGCAGGCGCGAAAACUUUACAAUGCGAGAAAUCGUGAUAAGGGAACCCCGAGUGCCCGUAAAUUCGGGCUGUCCGCCAGUGUAAAUAACUGGCGAAGAAAGGGCUGGGCAAGACCGGUGCCAGCCGCCGCGGUAAUACCGGCGGCUCGAGUGGUGGCCGCUAUUACUGGGCUUAAAGCGUCCGUAGCUGGGUUGUUAAGUCUCCUGGGAAAUCCACCGGCUCAACCGAUGGGCGUUCAGGAGAUACUGGCAACCUAGGGACCGGGAGAGGUGAGAGGUACUCCAGGGGUAGGAGUGAGAUCCUGUAAUCCUUGGGGGACCACCUGUGGCGAAGGCGUCUCACCAGAACGGCUCCGACAGUGAGGGACGAAAGCUGGGGGAGCAAACCGGAUUAGAUACCCGGGUAGUCCCAGCUGUAAACGAUGCGCGUUAGGUGUAUCGGUGACCACGAGUCACCGAGGUGCCGAAGAGAAAUCGUGAAACGUGCCGCCUGGGAAGUACGGUCGCAAGGCUGAAACUUAAAGGAAUUGGCGGGGGGAGCAC